rnacentral:tRNA from 1 species
GCCGAAGUGGCGGAAUUGGCAGACGCGCACGACUCAAAAUCGUGUCCCUUCGGGGGUGUGGGUUCGAGUCCCACCUUCGGUA